rnacentral:rRNA from 2 species
AUCUCUUGGUUCCGGCAUCGAUGAAGAACGCAGCGAAAUGCGAUAAGUAAUGUGAAUUGCAGAAUUCAGUGAAUCAUCGAAUCUUUGAACGCACAUUGCGCCCCUCGGCAUUCCGGGGGGCAUGCCUGUUCGAGCGUCAUU